AAAAGUGAAUGCAAUGAGAAUUUUGGAAAAUGUUGAUCUGCCUGCAUCUUUGGCUGAUUUAUUCGCUAAACCAGAAGAAAUCCUUAUUCACGAAACUAGCGAUGAAGUCAUUCAUGAAACUAGCGAUGAAGUUAUUCACGAAACUAGCGAUGAAGUCAUUCAUGAAACUAGCAAUGAAGUCAUUCAGGAAACUAGCGAUGAAGUUAUUCACGAAAUUAGUGAUGAAGUUGUGCCUGCUCAAGAAGAUGAACUUGAAGGAAAGGACCUGCAGGAGGAGAAAGUUGUAAAACCCGAACAUGCUCCUAUCCCGCCAAAGAUGGU
rnacentral:lncRNA from 1 species